ensembl:lncRNA
CUAUUUAUAAAGCCUGCUAUACUGCCUUCUCUUUUUACAUUAGAAAAUAGUGAUAACGACGAUAUCGCGAGGUCUGGAAACCAUAAUCUAAAUUCCGAAAAUCAAUGAAGACGGUAGAAAGCACUCUCGCCAGACCACAGUAUAACUGCUGAAUUUACGAAUGCUCACCAGUUGAAUAUGGCCGGUGUCAGUAAACGUUGGCAAAAUGCGUAAUUAUAUUGUUGCCAAUAGCACAGUUACAGUCACCAACGCUCUGGAUAACACGAAAACAGCCUAAUCAGCUCUACUUGGCAGGGAGACAUGCAGUACCAGCAAAUCUUCUGCAAGAGAACCAAACAGUUGGUGGUUAUGAAGCCCUACACCACUUUCGGCAGUCUUAUCCAGCUGGCUGUUCAUCUCAGUUGUGUAGUUGCACCCUGACAGUGGCAAGUGGCAAGCAGGUCAUCCUGAUUGGUAUAAUUGUACGGACAGAGAUUAUCACACUACUGUCAAUGGGCUGGAAUAAGAGGAAGUUCACCAACAUGGAUCGCAUGUAACACUCGUCUGAAGAAGUGGACCAUAAUCAUAUUCUUUAAUGAUAACCACAAAAAGAAGAGAGAGAGAACCAACGAAACGUACAGCCUUGAAGGGCUCAACAGCAACAAUACAAGGACAAGAUCCUACAACAUAGAAUGUCAAAAGACUGGAGGAGACCAGCCUCGCAAAAAGCGGGAAGAGCUAGACAUCAACACCGCUGUGCUACAGGAGUGGAUUACUGAGGUCCAGCAGUGGCCUGAUGACACACUUCAGGAUCGUCAGACGGGGCAUCUCCAGAAGAAGCUUGAAGGGCUUUACCACAGUGUGAAAGAGGAAACUACUUCUACCAUUUGACAGCUCACAGGCAACUGCCAUCAAAAGGCAAUCUUCAACAGACUGAUGUUAGUGAACAGACUGCAGGAGGAAGAGAGGAUCCUGGUCCGGGAGAUGAAGAGGCACUGGGGGAGCCUACAAAGAGCAGUGGGAACUGUGGCGGCACUGUACCUACAAGUGCUUACAUGUGACUUUUAGGUAAUGCAGUGGAGUUUUCAGAGGGAGGGAAGAAUGGCCUUCUCUGCCACCCGAAGAGAAGAUUGAGUGAACUGACACAAGACCAAGUUGACACCAGGAAUACCUACCACAAGCUGAUUCUGGGAGAAGGGGAUAUUUUUUUAUGACUGAUGUAGGAGAGGGAGAAGGCCGCCAACCACCUCCCUUGGGAGCAGCCUGGUCUCCUGACGUUGACCCCUCACCUUCUGAACCCAUCCAGGGAAAUGUAAUUUGCCUGAUGAUGUGCUAGUGGAGAAGGAAUGUGUCAUGUUUCCUCUCCUCACCACCUCUCUUCCGGUCCUAGACUAUGGCAACAUCAUCUGCAACUCAUACUGUUGGUUGAGGACCUCUUACUGAGGAAUGUGGUUCUUCAUUAUUAUUUAUCUGUAUUUACUACAAGUAUUUUCUAUGCUGCCAUGAUU